rnacentral:lncRNA from 1 species
AUUCGUGUCGGUGCACAAUUGUCUCUCCUUAAAUCGUUCUCUAAUGACAAAAUGAUGUGCUUGUAUCAUAACGUAGAACCCGUCUAUAUUUUAGCAGCUACAACAACAAAAUCGUAAUUAAAGAUCGAGAGGAGACGCAACCUGGUCAUAGUUCCAACAUUGUUUAGGAUUUUUUCUUUCUUUUUUUCCCGAUUUUUGUUUGACUACGCCCGUUUAUCACAAGACUUGUCUGUACUGCAUUACUGUCAUUCCAUAUUCAUGUUUUCGUGUUAGCUAGCAUAAUUAAAAUCACAUGUUAAUAGUUGGUGAAUUUAUUGGCGAAAGCCAUAGAAAAUCUCAAAUCAAUUCCAGAACGAGUAUAGCCGACCUGCACUUAUGAUGUCUGAUGUAGUCGGCAUUUUUAGGGUAGCCUACUGUUGCACAUGCUACAUAUCAUACACAAUUAAUAAUUGCUUGCACUUUGGGUCAGACGUGUGAUCAAGCACGACUUCUAACCCAUCCACAGAUGGCUCCUGUCAAUCUAUUUAAAGAGGUUGGAAGCUUAGCUUUUUUCAUGUAGCAGACGCCAUUGUAAUAUGUGAAAUGGUUGCAUUGAGGAUUGGCGAUGCAGACGCCGCCGCAUUGCUCUCCGGUGCUCGGCUUUUGUGCGAUGUCGUUACCCUCCCAGUCACAGUUCCACAUCCAAAUAACUUGGCCGUUGUUUCCGUAAUUGUACACCUGACGAGGCUGUGAAUCAUCGGCAGAAAUGCAAGCGAUACUUGUCAACAGCAGCAGAAAGAACAAGCAAACUGGAGAUGUCAGAGUCAUUGUUGCAAAAAGGGUGUGUUUUUCGCUUUCUGUUUAGUGCAAAAGAAGAUUUAAAAAAUACAGUGACGUUAGACAUGUUUGAACAGGACGAAGGAAAACUUACAACAAAAUGGAGAGUCUGAUGUCACUCAACGAAAAAGGUACGACGUUUGGUGUCAAAGGAGUUGUUUCAGUCGACUGUGCCUUAUUCAGGAAAAACCUUUCCCUUUUUAUACUAGGAUACUUGUAUUGAACAAGUUUGCAUUCAUUUCUACGAAAUGUAGCCUCUAUCAAAAGGUCAACGUACCAUGAAGAGGACACAGAAGUGGUUUUGGGAGGUGUAGUUUAGGAUACGAAUGUUAUAUUCAGGAGAAAAGAGGGUGUCCAGUUAUAUCGGACAGUCGAUUAUUCUUCUUUGUGCUUGCUUAACGUUUUCUAGACUAUUUCUAAUCACGUAUGCAUAACUUUCGAUAUGAUACGACUAGAACAACUUGUUGCAAGACUGGCCGAUGUGUCCGGAUUGACCUUUCGGUCAUUGCCCUCAUUUCCUCCCCCUUGAGUUUGCAACUUUUCGUGUUGUGAGUUCAUUUCUUCCACCCCAUCUUCGAGGUGCAUUGACAUGUCAUUUACCACGCCCAAAAUUGUGUUUUUUUUUUUUUUUUUUUCAACGGGUUAUCACCGUUUCGGCUUAAUUGGCUACUGACAUGACAAGUGACAGCUUUAUCAGAGUCAUAGAAACUUGGUACAGCCACGCUUAUGGGUAGAGUUCCCGUCUUCCCGAGUCUGACCAUUGUUAUAAGCGCCGUGGCGGGUGUGUUGGUAAAUUUUCAAAACUUGGGAAACUUCUUCUUAGUAUAAGUUACAAUGUUUACUUGCUAUUUCUAUAUAUUUAAACUAGUUUAUCUCUCUAAUGGCUCCUGAUUACAUUUUCCGUUAUGUAUAACGGAAGAACAACUCAACAGAUGGCAGUCAAAAUAAUGGUCAAAUCGAUAUUUUAGCGCUUUUCGAUUUCGAUAGUAGCUUCACUUUUGGAAAAGAAAAAAUUCGACAGGGGGGUGUUUCCCCUGCAGUGGCUGUACCAGGUUUCUAAAACUCUGGCUUUAUAUUGCAAAAUGGACAAAUGUUUUGCGUUAUACAUAGUCAUCUAGCCAGUUACCUAUCAGGAACGAUAAAAGUGUUUUCAAACAGCACAUCUUCACAAAUUCCAGUGUAGCAAAAGCUUAAAUUGUUUGCGAUUUAUUUGCAUAUCAGUAGGCCUGCACCAAAUUCGUCAGGGAAUAAUUCAUGAUUCAAAUCAUCUGAAAUUUUUUUCAACGUAAAAAUAAAAACAAUUUCCGGCAACGGCGCAUUAAAAGUUCGACGCUAGAUGACGUUAUUCGCAGGUCUCAUUGAUUCCGACUGCCUUUGAUGGAACACCAUGCUGGCGAAGAGUAAAUGAACCAUGCUGAUCCCUUCUCACGUUCAAGUUCAAGUUCAAGUUCAACGAGGUUCAAGUUCAACCAGGUUUAACUGAAGAAUUCAAAAAAGCAUAUUUCAUAUCCUAUCAUGAUGCAGUCUCCACACCACAAGGGAGAGGGACAUCAGAUUUCACAACCAGUUUUCCAAAAGCCGAGUCAAUGAUGGAAUCCUUAUGAUGGAAGUAUGAGGUUGUUGUAAUAUUAAACAUGGUGGCUGUUGAUGUUUAACAGGACCCUGGACCCAACAUGUUGGCUAUGCUGAGCAUUUCUGGCAUUGGUUCAUUGAAAAAAGCCCAUCCAAAUUACAGCUAACACUCAUGGGAUUAUAUUCAGACAAAACAAUUUUUGGAGAAGGUUUCGAUAACAAGAGUAAAGGAAAGGAUUCAACUUGGAAACAGUUGCAGAGUUUAUAAGAUGAAUCCUUGUGACUGUAAUUCUCCUGAAAUAUUUGUAGUCCAUUUGAUCAGAAAAGGAAAAUUAGUAUGUGGGUAUGCUUAGCAUAUGGAACUUAGCCUACCUUCACACGUGCACGUGCUAUUAACUCCCAGGAUUGUGAAAAAUUAGACAGGUUGUGCCAUCACCGUCAAAAGGUUGCCUUAGAAAAUCCAUGGGUUAAAUAAACAACGUGUGUCGAUUUAAAACCCAAUAAAACGACUUUUCCGUUGUUACUGAGUGAAACAAGAUUUUUAUAACAUAAAAAAAAAAACAUGUGGUUGGAAUAGUUAAAUUUUGAUGUGCUUCUCUACAGUAAAGCACAGCGCUGACAACUUAACAACCGUCCAUCAUCGGCCUCUUUCGUCGCUCAGUUUGCCGUGAUUUUCUAUGUCGGUCUGUUGGCUGCUUUUCAACCGUAAGGGGCUGCCUAUAAGCCCGGUGACUGCUAUUGCCAAAAGAGCCAGAAAGACUAGAAACAGAUGCUUUGGAAUUUAAAUUGAAAACAGGUUAUCAUUCAGAUAUUGUUGUUCUAUGAUUUAAAUAAAAGAAGAAACAAACUGGCUUUCCUUACUGGAGCUGUGAUAGUGUUAAGCUCAAGAAAUUGACUGAUGCACAAACCAGGAUACUGGGAAGAAUUUAUACCUAGUUGGAAAAGGUUACGCCCUCUGCAGAAGAAACCGAGAGAGUUGGGCGAUAUUCAAAGUUUCUCCAUUGCUCUGGCUUUUCCAUGUGAGAUUGUACGCGGUUGUGGGCCUGCUGCAAGCUAUUGAUUCUUCGACCGCUUCAGCUUUCCUCAGGUUAGACAAUUUAAGCAUGCACUGCGAAUUUUAUUUGAGUCCAAUGGAGUCCAACGACGGCAUUUUAUUCCCUCGGAUUGUCUUUCCGGAUGAGCAAGACUUAUUUAUCGGUAGCUGUCGGAAAUCUUUGGUCAUACACUUCUGUGAAGUAGACCAAAAAAAAUUCCUGAACUAAGUUCAUGAAAAAUCACGAUUUUGGCCAAAUCCAACUUUUGGCUAAAAACACAUCGUUCCAACCCCAAAUUUGAUAAGGAUCACAAAAAUCUUACUCGUUAUGUUAUGGGAUCACUAAUUCCGGAAAUAUUGGAUACUUCCGGUUACUUCCUGGAUAUUUUCUUGACAAUUUGCUAAAAGUAAAAAAUUAGCUGUAUUAUUCUAACAAUUUCAAAUGUUUUCUUGUAUGCAUUAGGGUGUUGCAGCUUUUAUUCCGUGUUUUUCUUGCUAUCAACAUUACAGGCUGGCCCUACGAGCAACGACAGUUUUAGCUACAAAUGUUUAGCACCUCGUCUUGCAACUAGUAGUUUCCCGAUAGGGAUUCUAUCAAAACUCGCAUUUCCCAACCCCCUGAUACAGGCACCCCUACCCUUCUACAACGACCCGUGGA